rnacentral:sRNA from 1 species
CAAGAUCGCAAACAUUCUUGUGGUGGGACGGCGCAUGGGCAGGAUGGUGUAACCAUCCGGCGAUAGCCACCCAUGCGCAAAACACGAGGCCCUUCAAGGGGCCUUUUUUUAUGCCUUCAA